AAGCGGAGGAAAAGAAACCAACAGGGAUUGCCUCAGUAACGGCGAGUGAAGCGGCAACAGCUCAAAUUUGAAAUCUGGCUCUUUCAGGGUCCGAGUUGUAAUUUGUAGAAGAUGCUUCGGGUGUGGCUCCGGUCUAAGUUCCUUGGAACAGGACGUCAUAGAGGGUGAGAAUCCCGUAUGUGACUGGCUGCCUUCGCCUAUGUGAAGCUCUUUCGACGAGUCGAGUUGUUUGGGAAUGCAGCUCAAAAUGGGUGGUAAAUUUCAUCUAAAGCUAAAUAUUGGCCAGAGACCGAUAGCGCACAAGUAGAGUGAUCGAAAGAUGAAAAGCACUUUGGAAAGAGAGUUAAACAGUACGUGAAAUUGUUGAAAGGGAAGCGCUUGCAACCAGACUUGUAUACGGUUAAUCAUCCGGUGUUCUCACUGGUGCACUUGACCGUGUUCAGGCCAGCAUCGGUUCAGGUGGUAGGAUAAAGGCCUUGGGAAUGUAGCUUCU
rnacentral:rRNA from 1 species